UUAUGUCCUCAUUAAACUGCCAGAAAAUAAAACGUUUCUGCAAUUUAUGGCCAGAUAAUCGAUUAUCUGAGCCUGAUAAUCGAUUAUCUGGGCCUUCGGGAAUCUCAAAAUUUGCUGAAAAACUAGGAUAAUCGAUUAUCCUUUUUGGAUAAUCGAUUAUCUUGGCUCUCUGGAAUUUCCAAUUUUGCUGAAAAAUUCCAGAUAAUCCAUUAUUUUAAAAAUAAUCGAUUAUCCUCAGGUUCUGUUUCAAAAAAUUUUUGAUGAACAAAAC
rnacentral:lncRNA from 1 species